ACCGCUGGGUAGUUGGAGUCGGUGUAACUGCGGACCCCCCGAUAACUGACAGUUCACCGUGAAGAAGAAUAAAACAAAAACAAAGUGUAUCGAGAUAGUGCAGGAAAUUUGGAAUUUAUACUAAAAUAAUUAAAAGUUCAGUGUAAGGAAAUGAUCGGUUGAAUUUAGGGAAUCUAUUUACGCAAUUUAACCCUUCGUAUCACACGAGGACUGAGGACCCAAGGCGCAGACAUUACAUCGUAUUGCUUUGUACGGGUAUAAUUUGAAGAAGAAGAGGAAAGGAUCAGAAAGUAUCAAGGAGAAUUCAGGAAGGAUCGAAGUCGUAAGGAAGGAGGAAACUAUUAGAGUGAGUAGAUUUAGUGCAAAUUAUAAAUCUGUAGCAAUUAAGAAAAUAAUGGCAAUAUAUUUUAGUUUUUGAGCUGCUCCGAAUAGCUGCUGCAAAAUAAAUAGUGUACUCGAACAA